GACGAACGCUGGCGGCGUGCCUAAUACAUGCAAGUAGAACGCUGAAGGAAGGAGCUUGCUCUUUCCGGAUGAGUUGCGAACGGGUGAGUAACGCGUAGGUAACCUGCCUGGUAGCGGGGGAUAACUAUUGGAAACGAUAGCUAAUACCGCAUAACAGUAGAUAUCGCAUGAUAUGUGCUUGAAAGGUGCAAAUGCAUCACUACCAGAUGGACCUGCGUUGUAUUAGCUAGUUGGUGGGGUAAAGGCCUACCAAGGCGACGAUGCAUAGCCGACCUGAGAGGGUGAUCGGCCACACUGGGACUGAGACACGGCCCAGACUCCUACGGGAGGCAGCAGUAGGGAAUCUUCGGCAAUGGGGGCAACCCUGACCGAGCAACGCCGCGUGAGUGAAGAAGGUUUUCGGAUCGUAAAGCUCUGUUGUAAGAGAAGAACGAGUGUGAGAGUGGAAAGUUCACACUGUGACGGUAACUUACCAGAAAGGGACGGCUAACUACGUGCCAGCAGCCGCGGUAAUACGUAGGUCCCGAGCGUUAUCCGGAUUUAUUGGGCGUAAAGCGAGCGCAGGCGGUUAGAUAAGUCUGAAGUUAAAGGCUGUGGCUUAACCAUAGUACGCUUUGGAAACUGUUUAACUUGAGUGCAGAAGGGGAGAGUGGAAUUCCAUGUGUAGCGGUGAAAUGCGUAGAUAUAUGGAGGAACACCGGUGGCGAAAGCGGCUCUCUGGUCUGUAACUGACGCUGAGGCUCGAAAGCGUGGGGAGCAAACAGG
rnacentral:rRNA from 1 species